rfam:Acyrthosiphon pisum strain LSR1 Contig31478, whole genome shotgun sequence.
AUACUUACUUGGUGUCGAGGUCAACCGUGAUCACCGAGGCGGUUCCUCUAGGACGAGACCGUUCCAUUGCACAUCGGGACGGUUGACCCCUGCGAGUAUUCCAAAUAGGAAUAUCUCGGGCACGUAAUUUUUGGUAGCGGGACUGCGUUCGCGCCGUCCCUG